rnacentral:lncRNA from 1 species
GCAUCUUUUGGGCAUAUGCCAAGGAGUGGAAUAGCUGGGUCCUCAGGUAAUACUAUGUCCAAUUUUCUGAGGAACCACCAGACUGAUUUCUAGAGUGGUUGUACUAGCUUGCAAUCCCAUCAGCAAUGGAGGAGUGUUCCUCUUUCUCCACAUCCUUGCCAGCAUCUGCUGUCACCCGAGUUCUUGAUCUUAGCCAUUCUGACUGGUGUGAGGUGGAAUCUCAGGGUUGUUUUGAUUUGCAUUUUCCUGAUGACUAAGGAUAUUGAACAUUUCUUUAGGUACUUCUCAGUCAUUCAAUAUUUUUCAGUUGAGAAUUCUUUGUUUAGCCCUGUACCCCAUUUUUAAUAGGAUUGUUUGGUUCUCUGGAGUCUAACUUCUUGAGUUCUUUGUAUAUACUGAAUAUUAGCCCUCUAUUGGAUGUCUUCAUAGUAUCUUUAUUUAUAAUAUCCAGAAAGAUCCUAGAUGUCCUUCAACAGAGGAAUGGAUACAGAAAAUGUGGUACAUUUAUACAAUGGAGUGCUACUCAGCUAUUAAAAACAAUGACUUCAUGAAAUUUGCAGGCAAAUGGAUGGAACUAGAAAAUAUCAUCCUGAGUGAGGUAUCCCAGCCACAAAAGAACACACAUGGUAUGCACUCACUGAUAAGUGGAUAUUAGUUCAAAAGCUUGGAAUACCCAAAAUACAAUUCACAGACCUCAUGAAUCUCAAGAAGAAGGAAGACUACAGUGAAGAUACUUCGGCCCUUCUCAGAUGGAGGAAAAAAUACUUAUGGGAAGAAAUAUGAAGCCAAAGUGUGGAGCAGAGACUGAAGGAAAGGCCAUCCAGAGACUGUCCCACCUGGGGCUCCAUCCUGUCUGUAUACAGUCAUCAAACUCAGACACUGUUGUGGAUGCUAAGAAAUGCUUGCUGACAGAAGCCUAAUAGUUGUCUCCUGAGGGGCUCUGCCAGAGCCUGUACAGAGGUGGAUGUUCACACCCAACCAUUGGACUGAGCAUGGGGUCUCCAAUGGGGAGUUAGAAAAUGACUGAAGGAGCGGAAGGGGUUUGUAACCUCAUAGGAAGAACAACAAUAUCAACCAACUACCCCCUCAACUCCCAGAUCUCCCAGGGACUAAACCACCAACCAAAGAGUACACAUGGAGGGAUCCAUGGCUCCAGUCACAUAUGUAGCAGAAGAUGGCCUUGUCAGGCAUUAAUGGGGGGGGGGAGAAGAGGCCCUUGGUCCUAUGAAAGCUUGUAUAGGGGAAUGGCAGGGAAGGGGCAGGGGUGGUGGAGUGGGUGAGGGCUUGGAAGUGGGGGUGGGUGGGAGUUGGGGGUUGUGGUGGGGAACACUCUCAUAGAAGCAGGAGCAGAGGGUAUGGGACAGGGGUUUUCUGGGGGUGAGUGGGAAAGGGGUUAACAUUUGAAAUAUAAAUAAAGAAAAUAUCAAAAAAAGAGAGAGGAAGAAAGAAAGAAAGAAAGAAAGAAAGAAAGAAAGAAGGAGGGAGGUAGGGAGGGAGAGAGGGGGGAGGGGAGAGAGAGAGAGAGAGAGAGAGAGAGAGAGAGAGAGAGAGAGAGAGAGAGAGGAAAGAGAGAGAGAAG